rnacentral:rRNA from 1 species
UCGGACCUGCCCGGUGAAUUUUUUUAACGGCCGCGGUACUCUGACCGUGCAAAGGUAGCAUAAUCAUUUGCCUUAUAAUUGAAGGCUGGUAUGAAUGGUUUGACAAGAAUAUGGCUGUCUCUUUAUAAUUUGAUAGAAUUUUAUUUUUAGGUGAAAAAGCCUUGAUUAAAUUAAUAGACAAGAAGACCCUAUCGAGCUUGAGAGAAUUUGGCGGAUAAAAUUGAAAGGCCUUAUCGGUGGAGAAAGGAGAGCUGUUGAAUACUUUGGUUGGGGCGACUAAGGAACAAAAAAAGCUUCCUUUAAUGAUAUUUGAUACAUACAAGUGUUGAUCCAAAAAUGUUGAUUAAAGGAAUUAGUUACCGUAGGGAUAACAGCAUUAUCCUUUUUGAGAGUUCAUAUCGAAAGAAGGGUUUGUGACCUCGAUGUUGGACCAGAAUGUCCUGAAGAUGCAGAAGUCUUCAAGGGUUGGUCUGUUCGACCAUUAAAAUUCUA